rnacentral:sRNA from 1 species
CUGUGUCAUAAAACAAAGCAACAGCAACAAAAUUGCACAUAUCUUCUUUAGAAACCUAAAGAGAAAGAAGAAACUAGGACUAGAAAUAAGUUGUGAUGGAGUAUCUUAAAGAUACGAAGGACUCUUAACAUGAUUUUUACUCUGUCUAGCCUGAACUCAGACAGGGACAUGUGAGCAAACGCACAGCUAAUGUCCUUUUGAACUUAGUGUCUAUAAAGGGAGAGGAUCAUAAGUAAAUCAUGAUAGAUAUUUUGAUAGGACUUCUUACUCUCCAGCGUAAGAGCAGAUUUCUUACUCUCCAGAGAGAAUGUUCGAAGGCCAGGGUGUCUAGAAAGGAAAUGACGUCUUAACUAUAGUAUGAAAGGAAGCAGGCAAACCAAGAACGGCUGCGAGGAGAGAAAGUCCCAGGCGACAGAAGCAGUGUGCAAGCGUCCUGAGGUGCACGAGAGUAAAGCAAGGCAGAGGCACUGAAAGCCACGGCGCUAUGAAGUACAGAGUUCUGGAAGCAGAAGAAGGAAAGAGGAAGCUACAAAAAUACACAGACACUAGAUCCCAGAAGACUAUGAACUAGAGGUUUCGUUCUGACAGAAUAGGGACCAUUAGAACACGUGUGCGGAGAACAGAGCUACCGCUGCUUAGGAAGAUCAACCUGGGGUGGCCAGUUUGCAACAAAGAGUUGAGUUUUGUUCUCUCACCUAAUUUACAACUUUUGAUCCUGUUCCUGUGCCAGUACUGGAGAUCAAAGCCAGGGCCUUGCACAUUCCACGUUUCUGAGGUCCCUUCAUCCCGUUCAUAGACAAACCUGCUCGGAGAAUGAGAGUUUAUAUCCACUCCUCCAUGCAGCAGCCAGAAAGGAAAAGGCUUGCUUCUCUGGGGAGGGCUUGUGAUAGCCCAGCAAGCCUAGCCCCAGCCACUCACAUCCGUCCCUGGCAUGGUGAUCCUGAGUGAUGUGAAAGUCUUAUGCCAGUAUCAUCUCCGGUUACACAACUGUACCAUUCCCACGAGAAUGGGGAUUAUACCUGCUUUGAAAACCACAGCUACAGCCAGUACUCUUCUCACAAUGGAUGCUCAGGAAGUACAUCCCUCCCCAGGGUGACUGAAGGACAACAGAGUUACAGGAGUUCCACUUCUGUACAUGAUAAGAUGGAUGAAGCAAAGAAGUGCAGGCCGAAAG